rnacentral:rRNA from 1 species
GACGUAGGGCGCGAGCGUUGUCCGGAUUUAUUGGGCGUAAAGAGCUCGUAGGCGGCUCGGUAAGUCAGGUGUCAAAUCCUCAGGCUCAACCUGGGGCUCCACCUGAUACUGCUGUGGCUAGAGUCCGGUAGGGGAGCGUGGAAUUCCUGGUGUAGCGGUGAAAUGCGCAGAUAUCAGGAGGAACACCAGCGGCGAAGGCGGCGCUCUGGGCCGAUACUGACGCUGAGGAGCGAAAGCGUGGGGAGCAAACAGG